rnacentral:rRNA from 1 species
GAGUUUGAUCAUGGCUCAGAACGAACGCUGGCGGCGUGGAUAAGACAUGCAAGUCGAACGGGAGAAUUGCUAGCUUGCUAAUAAUUCUCUAGCGGCGCACGGGUGAGUAACACGUGAGUAACCUGCCCCCGAGAGCGGGAUAGCCCUGGGAAACUGGGAUUAAUACCGCAUAGUAUCGAAAGAUUAAAGCAGCAAUGCGCUUGGGGAUGGGCUCGCGGCCUAUUAGUUAGUUGGUGAGGUAACGGCUCACCAAGGCGAUGACGGGUAGCCGGUCUGAGAGGAUGUCCGGCCACACUGGAACUGAGACACGGUCCAGACACCUACGGGUGGCAGCAGUCGAGAAUCAUUCACAAUGGGGGAAACCCUGAUGGUGCGACGCCGCGUGGGGAAUGAAGGUCUUCGGAUUGUAAACCCCUGUCAUGUGGGAGCAAAUUAAAAAGAUAGUACCACAAGAGGAAGAGACGGCUAACUCUGUGCCA